CCUACGGGAGGCAGCAGUGAGGAAUAUUGGUCAAUGGACGAGAGUCUGAACCAGCCAAGCAGCGUGAAGGAUGACUGCCCUGUGGGUUGUAAACUUCUUUUAUAUGGGAAUAAAAUGUUCCACGUGUGGGAUUUUGUAUGUACCUUAUGAAUAAGGAUCGGCUAACUCCGUGCCAGCAGCCGCGGUAAUACGGAGGAUCCGAGCGUUAUCCGGAUUUAUUGGGGUUAAAGGGAGCGUAUGUGGAUUGUUAAGUCAGUUGUGAAAGUUUGCGGGUCAACCGUAAAAUUGCAGUUGAAACUGGCAGUCUUGAGUACAGGAGAGGUGGGCGGAAUGCGUGGUGUAGCGGUGAAAUGCUUAGAUAUCACGAAGAACUCCGAUUGCGAAGGCAGUUCACUGGACUGCAACUGACGCUGAGGCUCGAAAGUGUGGGUAUCAAACAGGAUUAGAUACCCCUGUAGUC
rnacentral:rRNA from 1 species